UACGUAGGGUCCAAGCGUUAUCCGGAAUCACUGGGCGUAAAGCGUGCGUAGGUGGCGUGUUAAGUGUGAUGUUAAAACGUGGGGCUCAACCCUGUCGGUGCAUCACAUACUGGCAUGCUAGAGGACGGCAGAGGCAAGUGGAAUUUGUAGUGUAGCAGUGAAAUGCGUAGAUAUUACAAGGAACACCAAUGGCGAAGGCAGCUUGGCUGGGCCACUCCUGACACUGAGGUACGAAAGCGUGGGGAGCGAACAGG
rnacentral:rRNA from 1 species